GGGUUGUGAGGUUAAGCGACUAAGCGUACACGGUGGAUGCCCUGGCAGUCAGAGGCGAUGAAGGACGUGCUAAUCUGCGAAAAGCGUCGGUAAGGUGAUAUGAACCGUUACAACCGGCGAUGUCCGAAUGGGGAAACCCA
rnacentral:rRNA from 1 species